GGAAGGGUAACUUAGCUCAGAGUAUCUGCUGGGUGUGCAGGAGGUCCCCAGGUUCAAUCCCUGGCAGUUCCA